AGACAGCAGUCGCCGCGGUAAUACGAAGGGUGCAAGCGUUACUCGGAAUUACUGGGCGUAAAGCGUGCGUAGGUGGUGGUUUAAGUCCGUUGUGAAAGCCCUGGGCUCAACCUGGGAAUUGCAGUGGAUACUGGGUCACUAGAGUGUGGUAGAGGAUAGUGGAAUUUCCGGUGUAGCAGUGAAAUGCGUAGAGAUCGGGAGGAACAUCAGUGGCGAAGGCGGCCAUCUGGGACAACACUGACGCUGAGGCACGAAAGCGUGGGGAGCAAACAGGAUUAGAUACCCCGGUAGUCCCUGUCUCUUAUAC
rnacentral:rRNA from 1 species